rnacentral:rRNA from 1 species
ACGCUCGACACCUACGGGGAGGCAGCAGGUGGGGAAUAUUGCACAAUGGGGGAAACCCUGAUGCAGCAACGCCGCGUGAAGGAAGACGGUUUUCGGAUUGUAAACUUCUGUUCUUAGUGAAGAUAGUGACGGUAGCUAAGGAGCAAGCCACGGCUAACUACGUGCCAGUAGCCGCGGUAAUCUGAGCGGGCUGCAAGGC